UCACAGCUGAUUAAUUAGAAGCAAGCACGCGACAGCCACUGUGCAUGCUGGCCGGCAACGCGAGGCAUGGUGUGGUGCAAAAUCCCAAACAGAGAUGAGAAAAUAACAUGGAUCCUGGAAAAUAACCACAGAUAACCACAAGGCAACAGAGUUGUAGCACUGGUCAAAACUACUGCCCAUGAUGAGGUUUCAUUGCUACAGAAAAUUAACAGUAUUUCAGCUGAUUUCACACCCCCUAUCCCUACCUCCUGCAUGUUAGUUGUCUAGAAAGCAGCUAUUCCACCUCCUCCAGAAAACCGGGAAAGUCAUUUCUAUCAAUGUCUUCAUUACCACAAAGAUCCACUACAACUGAAUUAUGUCUUGGGGGAAUUCACAACGUGCUUUUGCC